rnacentral:rRNA from 1 species
GACGAACGCUGGCGGCGUGCCUAAUACAUGCAAGUUGAGCGCUGAAGGUUGGUACUUGUACCAACUGGAUGAGCAGCGAACGGGUGAGUAACGCGUGGGGAAUCUGCCUUUGAGCGGGGGACAACAUUUGGAAACGAAUGCUAAUACCGCAUAAAAACUUUAAACACAAGUUUUAAGUUUGAAAGAUGCAAUUGCAUCACUCAAAGAUGAUCCCGCGUUGUAUUAGCUAGUUGGUGAGGUAAAGGCUCACCAAGGCGAUGAUACAUAGCCGACCUGAGAGGGUGAUCGGCCACAUUGGGACUGAGACACGGCCCAAACUCCUACGGGAGGCAGCAGUAGGGAAUCGUCGGCAAUGGACGAAAGUCUGACCGAGCAACGCCGCGUGAGUGAAGAAGGUUGUCGGAUCGUAAAACUCUGUUGGUAGAGAAGAACGUUGGUGAGAGUGGAAAGCUCAUCAAGUGACGGUAACUACACAGAAAGGGACGGCUAACUACGUG